rnacentral:rRNA from 1 species
GCCACACUGGAACUGAGACACGGUCCAGACUCCUACGGGAGGCAGCAGUGGGGAAUUUUGCGCAAUGGGCGAAAGCCUGACGCAGCAACGCCGCGUGUGUGAUGAAGGUCUUCGGAUUGUAAAGCACUUUCGACCGGGACGAAAACCCGUAGCCCAACACGCUACGGCUUGACGGUACCGGGAGAAGAAGCACCGGCUAACUCUGUGCCAGCAGCCGCGGUAAUACAGAGGGUGCAAGCGUUGUUCGGAAUUAUUGGGCGUAAAGCGCGUGUAGGCGGCGUGACAAGUCGGGUGUGAAAGCCCUCAGCUCAACUGAGGAAGUGCGCCCGAAACUG